rnacentral:rRNA from 1 species
GAUGAACGCUGGCGGCGUGCCUAAUACAUGCAAGUCGAGCGAAUGGAUUAAGAGCUUGCUCUUAUGAAGUUAGCGGCGGACGGGUGAGUAACACGUGGGUAACCUGCCCAUAAGACUGGGAUAACUCCGGGAAACCGGGGCUAAUACCGGAUAACAUUUUGAACCGCAUGGUUCGAAAUUGAAAGGCGGCUUCGGCUGUCACUUAUGGAUGGACCCGCGGCGCACUAGCUAGUUGGUGAGGUAACGGCUCACAAAGGCAACGAUGCGUAGCCGACCUGAGAGGGUGAUCGGCCACACUGGGACUGAGACACGGCCCAGACUCCUACGGGAGGCAGCAGUAGGGAAUCUUCCGCAAUGGACGAAAGUCUGACGGAGCAACGCCGCGUGAGUGAUGAAGGCUUUCGGGUCGUAAAACUCUGUUGUUAGGGAAGAACAAGUGCUAGUUGAAUAAGCUGGCACCUUGACGGUACCUAACCAGAAAGCCACGGCUAACUACGUGCCAGCCGCCGCGGUAA